UCCUCCUACGAACGCAUAUCUGUGGUUCCCUGUCUUUGGACACGUUAGAAUUAGAGGCAAAGAAACUGGACUUGGAGAAAUCUGGGGCCGGCUUACUCCCUGCAGGCUCAAGAUCAACCAUCCCAGAAAG